rnacentral:rRNA from 1 species
UACAGAGGGUGCAAGCGUUGUUCGGAAUCAUUGGGCGUAAAGCGCACGUAGGCGGCUUGUUAAGUCGGAUGUGAAAGCCCCAGGCUCAACCUGGGAAGUGCAUUCGAAACUGGCGAGCUUGAAUGUCGGAGAGGGCAGUGGAAUUCCGAGUGUAGAGGUGAAAUUCGUAGAUAUUCGGAGGAACACCAGUGGCGAAGGCGAACUGCCUGGACGAACAUUGACGCUGAGGUGCGAAAGCGUGGGUAGCAAACAGGA